rnacentral:rRNA from 2 species
AUGGAUCAGAGUGAACGUUCGUAAUACAUGCAACUCAUGCGAAUGGAUUGGCAGCUUAGUCUUAUGUAGUUAGUGGGUGACGAGUGACUAACGGGUGAGUAAUACAUCCGUAUGUAUUUUAUAAUUGGGGAUAACGUAGGGUAAUUUCCGAUAAUAUUGCAUACGACAUGGUUGUGAAAGCAGAGGAUGUUUGGACCGUGAGUGAUUGAUGGAGCCGAGUUGCGUUUAGUUAGUGGUGAGGGUAAAGCUCCACAAGGCAGAGGUUCGUUAGCUGCUUUGGAAGGAGGUUGACCCCCAUGGGAAUUGAGCCCCGGCCCGGAUUCUUCCGGAAGCCACCAUUGGGAAUUAUUCGCCAAUGAGGACAAUCUUGAGCCACCCAUCCGGCUGAGGUGAGGAGGCCUUUGGGUUGGUAAAGUCCGUUUUUUGGGAAGGACAUCCACUAGUUUAAUAACCGGUCGCGAUGACGGUACCCAACCAAUAAGCCCCGGCUAACUUCGUGCCAGCAGCCGCGGUAAUACGAAGGGGGCAAGCGUUAUUCGGAAUUAUUGGGCGUAAAGCGUGCGUAGGUGGUUUUUUAAGUCCGUUGUGAAAGCCCUGGGCUUAACCUGGGAAGGGUCGUGGAUAAUUGGGAGAUAGAGUGCGGAGGGGGAAAGGGAAUUUCCCGGGGGAGCAGUGAAAAGGGGAGAGAUCAGGAGGAACCUCCAGGCGAGAGAGCGAGCUCUUCUGGGACUAGGCACCUGGGACCUGAGGCCCAAAGCGUGGGGGAGCAAACAGGGAUUAGAUACCCUGGUAGUCCACGCCCUAAACGAUGCGUAGUGAAAUGUUGGGUGGUUUUGCCCUUUAGUGCUGAGCUAACGCAUUAAGUUCUCCGCCUGGGGAGUACGGUCGCAAGGCUGAAACUCAAAGGAAUUGACGGGGGCCCGCACAAGCGGUGGAGUAUGUGGUUUAAUUCGAUGCAACGCGAAGAACCUUACCUGGUCUUGACAUGUCCAGAACUUUCUAGAGAUGGAUUGUCGCCUUCGGGAACUCAAAGACAGGUGCUGCAUGGUUGUCGUCAGCUCGUGUCGUGAGAUGUUGGGUUAAGUCCCGCAACGAGCGCAACCCUUGACCUUAGUUGCCAUCAUUCAAUGGUGCCACUCUGGUGACAGCGCCUGAGACACACCAGAAGAAUGUGGAUAUCACCUCAACUCAUUGUGGCCCUUACCGUGAGGUAUACACAUGCACUACUGUGCUAUACACAGAGGUCUGCGACCCCGCGAUGGAAAUCUCUCCCAGAAACCCUAUCUCAUUCCAGAGUGGACUCUGCAUCUCCACUCCUGAAUUCAGACUCUCUAAUAUCGCAUAUCAACGUUGCUGCGAAGAAUAUUUCGGGGUGUUGUAACACCCGCCGUACACCAUGGUAUUUGUUGCCCAGACGCAGGUGUCAUAUUUUCAGCAGGCGCUUACACGG